rnacentral:rRNA from 1 species
UACAGAGGUGGCAAGCGUUGCUCGGUAUCACUGGGCUUAAAGGGCGCGUAGGCGGUGCGGUGCGGUUUCGGUGAAAUCCCUCGGCCUAACCGAGGAACAGCCGGGGCUACGGCCGCGCUAGACGGCAUCAGGGGACAGUGGAACUCCCGGUGGAGCGGUGAAAUGCGUAGAUAUCGGGAGGAACGCCGGUGGCGAAAGCGACUGUCUGGGGUGCCUGUGACGCUGAGGCGCGAAAGCCAGGGGAUCAAACGGG